GGCCCCGUAACUCAGCGGAGAGAGUGUCUGGGUCCUAACCAGAAAGUCGGGGGUUCGAGUCCCUCCGGGGCCGCCA
rnacentral:tRNA from 1 species